CCACACCUAAAAAACUUUCCACGUGAACUGUCAUUAUUUGUUGUGCGCUCUCUGCGGUGUCGGUGGCGUCUGUUGGCUGUAUUUGAUACUGCUGGCGGGUGCGAGCCGGAUGCAGAGGCUGAACGAAGGUCGAGUUGCUUUGCUCUCGGCUGACUUAUUUUUCAAACCCAAUACCCAACUUACUGAUUAUACUGUGAGAACGAAAGUUCUUGCUUUUAACUAGAUAACAACUUUCAGCAGUGGAUGUCUAGGCUCGCACAUCGAUGAAGAACGCUGCGAACUGCGAUACGUAAUGCGAAUUGCAGAAUUCAGUGAGUCAUCGAAAUUUUGAACGCAUAUUGCACUUCCGGGUUAUGCCUGGAAGUAUGUCUGUAUCAGUGUCCGUAAAUCAACCUUGCCUUUCUUCCUUCUGUGUAGUCAGUGGAGGAUGUGGCAGACGUGAAGUGUCUCGCUGUGGCUGGUUUUUGGUCGUUUCGGCUAUGAAUACAGUUUGCGAGUCCUUUUAAAUGGACACGACUUUCUCUUUUUUGUUUCUGCGAGGUGCUGUGCUCGAACGCGGUGGUUUUCGGAUCGCUCGCGGCUGUUGGCGACUUCGGUGAAUGCAUUAUGGAGUGGACCUCGAUUCGCGGUAUGUUGGGCUUCGGCUGGACAAUGUUGCUUAUUGUGUGUUUGUUCCGCGUUCGCCUUGAGGUGUACUUUCUGCUGUGUGCUUGAACUGGGAUCUGCUUUGUUAGUAGUGCGCGGUGAUCGUUAUUCGCGGGGACAUCUGUUGUUGYGCAYGCUSUUAGUGUGUGCUUGAGCAGAAGAGAGGUUUGAAUUUGGGAAAGUAGUGUACUGUGGCGUUAAUCGCUGUGUGUACAUCUCAAUUGGACCUGAUAUCAGACAAGACUACCCGCUGCG
rnacentral:rRNA from 1 species